rnacentral:lncRNA from 1 species
ACAACACUUUAUAUAUCUAUCAUCACACUUUAUAUAUCUAUCACCACACUUUAUAUAUCUUUCACCUCACUAUAUACAUUUAUCACCUAACUGGUCUUAUGUCACCACACCCCAUAUAUCUACCACCUCACCUUAUUUAUCUAUCACAUCACACUUUUACCUAUCAUCUCUUUUUAUAUUUAUAUCAACAUAAUGAAUAUAUCUAUCACC